GACGAACGCUGGCGGCGUGCCUAAUACAUGCAAGUUGAGCGCUGAAGGUUGGUACUUGUACCGACUGGAUGAGCAGCGAACGGGUGAGUAACGCGUGGGGAAUCUGCCUUUGAGCGGGGGACAACAUUUGGAAACGAAUGCUAAUACCGCAUAAAAACUUUAAACACAAGUUUUAAGUUUGAAAGAUGCAAUUGCAUCACUCAAAGAUGAUCCCGCGUUGUAUUAGCUAGUUGGUGAGGUAAAGGCUCACCAAGGCGAUGAUACAUAGCCGACCUGAGAGGGUGAUCGGCCACAUUGGGACUGAGACACGGCCCAAACCCCUACGGGAGGCAGCAGUAGGGAAUCUUCGGCAAUGGACGAAAGUCUGAACGAGCAACGCCGCGUGAGUGAAGAAGGUUUUCGGAUCGUAAAACUCUGUUGGUAGAGAAGAACGUUGGUGAGAGUGGAAAGCUCAUCAAGUGACGGUAACUACCCAGAAAGGGACGGCUAACUACGUG
rnacentral:rRNA from 1 species